UUUUUAUAGACGGAUAGAGAAGAUGGUAAGAGUUUUGGAAAGAAGCAUUAUUAGAGAAAUGGUGGAAAGGAUUUUAUGUUCUGGUAAGUGAACGAAUGUUUGCCCUCCUGAAAGGCAUAAAUUAGGAGAGUGGAGAAGCACGAGCAGUUUGUGUCAGCACUACACACCAUGGGGACUCAGAAAAUAGGAUGGUUAGGAGGGAGCAAGGUGAGGGUGGGCUGGAGCCCUGUGCUGUGCAGGAGAGCAGGGGCCUUAGCAGAUCUGUGCUCCAGGGAGGAGGGAGCCUCGGGCUGCUGAGAAGUGGAGAGUCAGCACUACACACCAUGGGGACUCAGAAAAUAGGAUGGUUAGGAGGGAGCAAGGUGAGGGUGGGCUGGAGCCCUGUGCUGUGCAGGAGAGCAGGGGCCUUAGCAGAUCUGUGCUCCAGGGAGGAGGGAGCCUCGGGCUGCUGAGAAGUGGAGAGUCAGAGGCGUCCAGGGACGUCUGAGAAAGACCGUGAGUUUCCCCACAGCACACUCACCGUUUCCUUGGAGGAACCAUUCCAUGUAUUCUUGCAGUGUCUCUGCUUGUUGAGCAAUACUCAUUUUCCUCCAGAAAAAAUAACCAGACACGAGAACAUCUCUGGGAUUCCUAAUGCCAUAAAUCACCUUAAAUGAAAAAAUGAGUAAGUGAAAAAUCAGGAGGGUCAUUUUCUACCUGAUUUUGUUCUUAUCCAUGUAAUUUGUACAAAGUGCCUAUUAAAUAUCAUGACUUAUAUU
rnacentral:lncRNA from 1 species